CCCGAGGAUCUAAAGACCCAGUGGAUUAAUUUUAUUUUUGAUGGAAAUGUUCCCGCUCCAACUCCGAAAGUGUUGUACUGUGUGCUAACCAUUUCACCUCGGACUGCUUUCUCAACCUGGGCCAGGACAACGCAGGAUUUCCUACAAGUCUCAAGAUAAAGCUUGGAUCAGUACCGACUGUCUGUGACCCAACUUUGAACUUCGGAGCUGCCAUCUAUACAGCUUCCUGCAACAGGGGAUGUUGCAUGCCAGACUGACCCACUGCAGGCACACAGUUAUCCUUGAAGAUCUUCAGCGUCACAUCAGAAGUACAGGGAAUGUGGUGGACCUCAUAUUUGAAAAAGUCUUUGUGACCUGGGACCAUACACAGAAGCUGCUUUGGCCAUCCCCAUCCCAGAGGACCUCACUGCACAGUUGGAGCGGCCUGAGAAGG